CCUACGGGAGGCAGCAGUGGGGAAUAUUGCACAAUGGGGGAAACCCUGAUGCAGCGACGCCGCGUGAGUGAAGAAGUCUUUCGGUAUGUAAAGCUCUAUCAGCAGGGAAGAAAAUGACGGUACCUGAUCAAGAAGCCCCGGCUAACUACGUGCCAGCAGCCGCGGUAAUACGUAGGGGGCAAGCGUUAUCCGGAUUUACUGGGUGUAAAGGGAGCGUAGACGGCAGCACAAGUCUGGAGUGAAAUGCCGGGGCUUAACCCCCGAACUGCUUUGGAAACUGUGCAGCUAGAGUGCAGGAGAGGUAAGUGGAAUUCCUAGUGUAGCGGUGAAAUGCGUAGAUAUUAGGAGGAACACCAGUGGCGAAGGCGGCUUACUGGACUGUAACUGACGUUGAGGCUCGAAAGCGUGGGGAGCAAACAGGAUUAGAUACCCUUGUAGUC
rnacentral:rRNA from 1 species